rnacentral:lncRNA from 1 species
UUCUUUUCUUUCUUUAUAUAUAUAUAUAUAUAGAAUUAGGCUGGAAUACUACUAAUAGUAAAACGCUCUUUUUGCUAUCAAAUUUUUAACCCUUAGAUGGAAAUUUGUAGGGUCAGGAUGAUAUUAGUCGGUUAGUGUUGAGUGGUCCCCACUGGGUUAUAGUAUUUAAUCCAAUGGUUAGAAAUAAUGAAAAGAGUUGAUUCAAAGGCUAAAAAACUGGUAGCAACAAUGAAAUUUUGCUGCUAUUAGUAGUCCAGUCCAACUAUAUAUAUAUAUAUAUAUAUUGUAGAGCUACUAUACUAUCAGAAGUAUAGAGGAUCCGAUGCUUCCAACUUUUUGACCAUUUGAUAAAAAAUUAUACGGUUGGGAUGAUUGCGGUCCCUCCAAAAUUGAGUAGUACUCCUAGGGUUGAGUGGCCCCCACAGGAUAAUAGUAUUAAUCCAAAGGUUAAAAAUGAUCAAAAGAGUUGAUCUAAGGGCCAAAAAUCGAAAGCACUAUAUGCUCUAUGCUUCCAAUCGCAUAGUAGCAUAGUAGGGCUACUAUACUCUUAUGAGUAUUGGGCCCUUCGUACUAUAAGUUGUUUUCGAUGAUGGAGCUUUCGAAUCGACGAUCCACUCUGUUAAAUAUGAUCUAGAGUAUUUGAAACUUUUAGAGAAUAAAUUUCGUAAUUUUUCGAAAUCAUAAUAAAGUCCAUCAAGCGAGCAUAAAAUGAAAGGUCAAAAUCGAACGACGUCCUAAAAAUGGAUGAUCAGAUCCUUCAAUUUAAGAUCAGAGUUAUCGGUCUUUAUCUAGGUAGUGAAUAGAAUUUUCUAUAAAAAAUUAAACUUGUUCCGAUUUUUUUUCACUGUUAAACUAGCAAGUAUCACAUACCGGCAGUUAAAAAUUAUCAAUUUUGUGAGCUUUUGAUCGUAAGGUAAAUAAUGUCAAAAAAUUAUGAAAUUUGAUUUCUAGAAGUUUUAAAUGCUCUAGAAAAUAUUUAAUAGUAUGGAUCGUCGAUUCGGAAGCUCUAUCAUCCAAAACAACUUAUGAGUACGAAGGCGAUCGUACUCAUAAGAGUAUAAUAGCCGGACUAUAUAUAUAUAUAU